rnacentral:rRNA from 1 species
GAUGAACGCUAGCUACAGGCUUAACACAUGCAAGUCGAGGGGAAACGACAUCGAAAGCUUGCUUUUGAUGGGCGUCGACCGGCGCACGGGUGAGUAACGCGUAUCCAACCUACCCACCACUUGGGGAUAACCUUGCGAAAGUAAGACUAAUACCCAAUGAUAUCUCUAGAAGACAUCUGAAAGAGAUUAAAGAUUUAUCGGUGAUGGAUGGGGAUGCGUCUGAUUAGCUUGGUGGCGGGGUAACGGCCCACCAAGGCUACGAUCAGUAGGGGUUCUGAGAGGAAGGUCCCCCACGUUGGAACUGAGACACGGUCCAAACUCCUACGGGAGGCAGCAGUGAGGAAUAUUGGUCAAUGGGCGAGAGCCUGAACCAGCCAAGUAGCGUGCAGGAUGACGGCCCUAUGGGUUGUAAACUGCUUUUAUAAGGGAAUAAAGUGAGCCUCGUGAGGCUUUUUGCAUGUACCUUAUGAAUAAGGACCGGCUAAUUCCGUGCCAGCCGCCGCCGUAA